GACGUUCAACACGCCUCGAUCUGUGGUUAGUACGUUGCUACUCUUCGACCCACCUCGGCACGUUGCUGUUGCUUGCUUGGAGACCUGGCUCCUGGUCGCAGUCUGCGCAGGCAAAAAGUGGGCACCAACUCCCGUGGAAGGUCGCACUGGCAGCGGUCGGCGUUUUUGUCUUCGGCUUCUUCCUCUUCUGGCUCGCCACCUCCGUCUAACCGCUGCAGCAAACCACGACCAACAAGACAGAUUCAUGAAUCUUCUCAGCAGGUGCGACACCAGUGGUGUCCAUCGAGUCAUUCGCACAUCACCCAAGGACCACUGAAUAAAUGUGU